rnacentral:lncRNA from 1 species
CACAGUCCAUGCUUUGGUCUUCCCAUCCCUGCCUGGGCUCUCUUCUGCAGGCAGCUGCUGGGGGUCAGCAAACGUAUAAGACAGGUACACCCACUUCUGACUGAGAACACUUCCCAAAGACUCCCUCUGCUGCCCUUGGAGCUGCUUCAGCAGCCCUGGGAGCAGGGCCAUGCUGUGGGCUAUUCCUCCCUCUGUGCACAUGCCUCUGUGCACAUAUGUCUGACUGUGAGUGCUGCCAUGUUUGGAGCUGUGUGGUGGCUGCUGUCAGAACCCAGGAAUGCAGCCUCAGGAACAGAACCCUGCACAGGCAAACUUGGCAGAACCUGGGCAGUGUCUGGAGCAGCAGUCAGGAAUCUGGGACUGGGAUCUGACUGCACUUGCAUUCCCAGGAGGACAAAUCUGGGCCUCGAUUGCCAGGUUUGCAACUUUUAAAAAGCCUUUGCUUUAAUGAAUGUGUAGCCUAAGUGUCAUUGUUCUUUUCUCCAUUCUGGGCUUUUUUUCAGAAAACAAGAUCAGUUUAUGAAAUUUAAAUCUCUGCUAAAAUAGAAAUUUUAUCUAGAGAAGUCCCU